UGUUAUCAUCUUUCUUAAAGUUUUUUUUUUUGCAUAAAUUUAUCCAAAACAGAAACUAAGUAAUAAUAAAAGGGACAUCAAAUUCAAAACCAUUUGAACUAAAUGUUCACCAGAAAAAUCACCACAAUAAAUAUAAUUAUCUAAAAUUAAAGGUGUGGGAGCAGUACAAUAUUUUGAGGGAGAGAAAAAGAAGUGAUGAAAAGGAUGUGCAGGUUUUGAAGAACAAAGAUUGGUGCAGUAUAUAUACUUCCAUAUUAGAAGCUGCUAGCUGGGGCAAUGCAAGGGCCACAACGUACACGAGUGAACUGUGUU
rnacentral:lncRNA from 1 species